CAAUAGCGUAUAUUAACGUUGUUGCAGUUAAAAAGCUCGUAGUUGGAGUUCUGGAGGGAGCGUCGGCCCGUAUUUACGAGUGCGUGACGUCUCUGUCCAUCCUUGCGGGAAGGCACGGCAUUGAUUUGUUGUGUCGGAUCGCAUCAUUUACUGUGAAAAAAUUAGAGUGUUCAAAGCAGGCUUUCGCUUGAAUACAUUAGCAUGGAAUAAUAAGAUAGGACUUUGGUGCUAUUUUGUUGGUUGAGCCUAAAGUAAUGAUUAAUAGGGAUAGUUGGGGGCACCUGUAUUGCGUUGUCAGAGGUGAAAUUCUUGGAUUUACGCAAGACAAACAGCUGCGAAAGCGUCUGCCAAGGAUGUUUUCAUUAA
rnacentral:rRNA from 1 species